rnacentral:ncRNA from 1 species
AUUUUGGCAAAGUUAUUGAAAAAUAACGACGCAAAGCUAUGAGUCUAAGGCUUAUAAGGGCUAUGAUUGUCAAGCUGCAA